rnacentral:rRNA from 1 species
GAUGAACGCUGGCGGCGUGCCUAAUACAUGCAAGUAGAACGCUGAAGGAAGGAGCUUGCUCUUUCCGGAUGAGUUGCGAACGGGUGAGUAACGCGUAGGUAACCUGCCUGGUAGCGGGGGAUAACUAUUGGAAACGAUAGCUAAUACCGCAUAACAGUAGAUGUUGCAUGAUAUCUACUUAAAAGGUGCAAUUGCACCACUACCAGAUGGACCUGCGUUGUAUUAGCUAGUUGGUGAGGUAACGGCUCACCAAGGCGACGAUACAUAGCCGACCUGAGAGGGGGAGCGGCCACACUGGGACUGAGACACGGCCCAGACUCCUACGGGAGGCAGCAGUAGGGAAUCUUGGGCAAUGGACGGAAGUCUGACCGAGCAACGCCGCGUGAGGGAAGAAGGUUGUCGGAUCGUAAAGCUCGGUUGUAAGAGAAGAACGAGUGUGAGAGUGGAAAGUUCACACUGUGACGGUAUCUUACCAGAAAGGGACGGCUAACUACGUG